GACGAACGCUGGCGGCGUGCUUAACACAUGCAAGUCGAACGGAAAGGCCCUGCUUGCCGGGUACUCGAGUGGCGAACGGGUGAGUAACACGUGGGUGAUCUGCCCUGCACUUCGGGAUAAGCCUGGGAAACUGGGUCUAAUACCGGAUAGGAGCCAUUUUUAGUGUGAUGGUUGGAAAGUUUUUUCGGUGCAGGAUGAGCUCGCGGCCUAUCAGCUUGUUGGUGGGGUAAUGGCCUACCAAGGCGGCGACGGGUAGCCGGCCUGAGAGGGUGGACGGCCACAUUGGGACUGAGAUACGGCCCAGACUCCUACGGGAGGCAGCAGUGGGGAAUAUUGCACAAUGGGCGCAAGCCUGAUGCAGCGACGCCGCGUGGGGGAUGACGGCCUUCGGGUUGUAAACUCCUUUCGCUAGGGACGAAGCUUUUUGUGACGGUACCUAGAUAAGAAGCACCGGCUAACUACGUG
rnacentral:rRNA from 1 species